UAACGGGUUGAAACUUCGGUUUUGAUGCUGACGACCGGCGAACGGGUGAGUAACGCGUAUGCAACCUGCCUUUUACAGAGGGAUAGCUUUCGGAAACGGAAAUUAAUACCUCAUAACACUGCGAUAUGGCAUCAUAAUGCAGUUAAAACUUUGGUGGUAAAAGAUGGGCAUGCGUAACAUUAGCUAGUUGGUAAGGUAACGGCUUACCAAGGCUACGAUGUUUAGGGGACCUGAGAGGGUGAUCCCCCACACUGGUACUGAGACACGGACCAGACUCCUACGGGAGGCAGCAGUGAGGAAUAUUGGUCAAUGGACGGAAGUCUGAACCAGCCAUCCCGCGUGCAGGACGACGGCCCUAUGGGUUGUAAACUGCUUUUCUGAAGGAAGAAUAAUCGCUACGUGUAGCGAGACGACGGUACUUCAGGAAUAAGCAUCGGCUAACUCCGUGCCAGCAGCCGCGGUAAUACGGAGGAUGCAAGCGUUAUCCGGAUUUAUUGGGUUUAAAGGGUGCGUAGGCGGAUUAAUAAGUCAGUGGUGAAAUCUUUCGGCUCAACCGAGAAACUGCCAUUGAUACUGUUAAUCUUGAGUUCGGUUGAGGUAGGCGGAAUGUGUAAUGUAGCGGUGAAAUGCUUAGAUAUUACACAGAACACCAAUUGCGUAGGCAGCUUACUAGACCGAUACUGACGCUGGGGCACGAAAGCGUGGGUAGCGAACAGGAUUAGAUACCCUGGUAGUCCACGCCGUAAACGAUGAUUACUCGUUGUUGGCGAUACACAGUCAGCGACCAAGCGAAAGCGAUAAGUAAUCCACCUGGGGAGUACGCUCGCAAGAGUGAAACUCAAAGGAAUUGACGGGGGCCCGCACAAGCGGUGGAACAUGUGGUUUAAUUCGAUGAUACGCGAGGAACCUUACCUGGGCUUAAAUGUAGAGUGCAUGAUCGGGAAACUGAUCUUUUCCUUCGGGACUCUUUACAAGGUGCUGCAUGGUUGUCGUCAGCCCGUGCCGUGAGGUGUCGGGUUAAGUCCCAUAACGAGCGCAACCCCUAUCAUUAGUUGCCAUCGGGUAAAGCCGGGGACUCUAGUGAAACUGCCACCGUAAGGUGAGAGGAAGGUGGGGAUGACGUCAAAUCAGCACGGCCCUUAUGUCCAGGGCUACACACGUGUUACAAUGGUCGGUACAGAGGGCAGCUACCUGGUGACAGGAUGCGAAUCUCUAAAGCCGGUCCAAGUUCGGAUCGAAGUCUGCAACUCGACUUCGUGAAGCUGGAAUCGCUAGUAAUCGCGCAUCAGCCAUGGCGCGGUGAAUACGUUCCCGGGCCUUGUACACACCGCCCGUCAAGCCAUGGAAGCUGGGGGUGCCUGAAGUUCGUAACCGCAAGGAGCGACCUAGGGUAAAACUAGUGACUGGGGCUAAGUCGUAACAAGGUA
rnacentral:rRNA from 1 species